rnacentral:rRNA from 1 species
CCAGACUCCUACGGGAGGCAGCAGUGGGGAAUAUUGCACAAUGGGGGAAACCCUGAUGCAGCGACGCCGCGUGAGUGAAGAAGUAAUUCGUUAUGUAAAGCUCUAUCAGCAGGAACGAGACAAGACGGUACCUGACUAAGAAGCCCCGGCUAACUACGUGCCAGCAGCCGCGGUAAUACGUAGGGGGCAAGCGUUAUCCGGAAUCACUGGGUGUAAAGGGAGCGUAGACGGCUGAGCAAGCCUGAAGUGAAAGGCGGGGGGCCAACCCCCGGACUGCUUUGGGAACUGUACGGCUGGAGUGCAGGAGAGGUAAGUGGAAUUCCUAGUGUAGCGGUGAAAUGCGUAGAUAUUAGGAGGAACACCAGUGGCGAAGGCGGCUUACUGGACUGUAAAUGACGCUGAGGCUCGAAAGCGUGGGGAGCAAACAGGAUUAGAUACCCCAGUAC